UUGUAGCCUGCUAUGGUAUAACUUAGUGGCAGUCGGGUGAGUAAUAUAUAGGAAUCUACCUAGUAGUACGGAAUAAUUGUUGGAAACGGCAACUAAUACCGUAUACGCCCUACGGGGGAAAAAUUUAUUGCUAUUAGAUGAGCCUAUAUUAGAUUAGCUAGUUGGUGGAGUAAUAGCCUACCAAGGCAAUGAUCUAUAGCUGAUCUGAGAGGAUGAUCAGCCACACUGGAACUGAGAUACGGUCCAGACUCCUACGGGAGGCAGCAGUGGGGAAUAUUGGACAAUGGGCGAAAGCCUGAUCCAGCCAUGCCGCAUGAGUGAAGAAGGCCUUUGGGUUGUAAAGCUCUUUUAGUGAGGAAGAUAAUGACGGUACUCACAGAAGAAGUCCUGGCUAACUCCGUGCCAGCAGCCGCGGUAAUACGGAGAGGGCUAGCGUUAUUCGGAAUUAUUGGGCGUAAAGGGCGCGUAGGCUGGUUAGUAAGUUAAAAGUGAAAUCCCGAGGCUUAACCUUGGAACUGCUUUUAAAACUGCUAACCUAGAGAUUGAAAGAGGGUAGAGGAAUUCCUAGUGUAGAGGUGAAAUUCGUAAAUAUUAGGAGGAACACCAGUGGCGAAGGCGUCUAUCUGGUUCAAAUCUGACGCUGAGGCGCGAAGGCGUGGGGAGCAAACAGGAUUAGAUACCCUGGUAGUCCACGCUGUAAACGAUGAAUGUUAAAUAUGGGAAGUUUACUUUCUGUAUUACAGCUAACGCGUUAAACAUUCCGCCUGGGGACUACGGUCGCAAGAUUAAAACUCAAAGGAAUUGACGGGGACCCGCACAAGCGGUGGAGCAUGUGGUUUAAUUCGAUGCAACGCGAAAAACCUUACCACUCCUUGACAUGAAAAUCAUACCUAUUC
rnacentral:rRNA from 1 species